rnacentral:lncRNA from 1 species
CUUCCCUGUUUUUCUCUCCUCUCCAGAGAAUUCUCAAUUCAUUCUCCUUAACAUGGAGAGGAACUCUACCCAGAAUCCUCAGCUUCACCAUCAACCAUGCCUCAAGGCUCUAGCUCCUUUCCUGCCAACUCAAGCCCACAUUGAUGUCUUCCUCUAAUGACAAUGUUUGCCUUUGUUGGCAGUACCAUACGAUUAGCACAUAUUUUAAAAAUAUCCUAUUAUCUAAUUAUCUAAAAUACAUAAUUUAACACGUUCUUCCGAUCAUGCCUUUCUCCCCAGGCUUUAAAGGGUAUAUCAGACACUUCUUGGACUUCAUCUCACAUCCUCUCAGCCCACCUUCUAUUCCAACUUCUACUGCAACAACAAGCUGUGCUCAGGAAUGACCCGACAGGGAUCUUGUCACAGGCAUUUGAAAAACACUAUCACCUGUAUUAGUUGUUACCACGGUACCAAACAAUUAUCACGGAACACAACUGCAUUUGCUGGCUACUCUUUCCUGCCUGUCUGCUCAGCUUUGCAAGAAUCUUUCAUGUAAAAUGCCUCUCAGUUCGUUAUUCUGUCAUCAAAAUGCUAUACCUGCUUCAAGGCCCUGUUCAAUCAUCUCCUUCAAGAAACCUCCUCCAAAUCUGUCUAUCCAAAUAAAUUAUGGAAUAAUUAUUAUUACUCCAAAUUCCUUACAAUGAUCAUAAUAAUGAUACUUUAAAG